ACAAGUUAUUCAAGAGGGAUACCAAAGCAUGUACUGUAGAAUUAUCCCCAUUGGUCUGAACUGUUUCAUCAUUUGUCAUUGUGUUACAGUUCGAGCUUGCCAUUUCACUUUUUUGUUUUUUAUGUCUAAAAUGUUGUUUUGUGUUAAACUCCGUGUUUGAACGUUUAAAGCGCUGCUGUCCCGCUGUGUGAAUGCGUUUCAACUGAACAGCCAGGUCUAUAUAUAAGGUCGGUUUAAGGUUUCUUUGUAACGUCACCUGACGUUUCUUUGUAACGUCACCAGUCAAAGGACUGGCCCGCCCCGUCAUAACGAAAGGGGCGGGACAAAUCUGUUGCUUAGCAACUGAAAAAAAGGCACACCGCGCUGAAUGCUACAUCCGGCCUGCGACGGUACACCGCCUCCGCACCACCGUUUAAACAUGAAGUGUGGAUGUUAGAAGAUCCCAAAUAUGGAAAUAGUCAGGACCCAGAUGAACCUGUGCUGGAAUUCAGUGUGGGGUGGUGGGUCUCAGAGGACAAUUGCUACCCCUGUUGAAGUGAACAACGUGUGGAGUGCAACUGGCUUUGUGGCAUAGCUGGCUCUGGCCUUGGACUGUGUGUUUUUACUUUGUACCUAAAUGGGACACUGGACU